AUCCAGCUGACGAGUCCCAAAUAAGACGAAACAUGCAU
rfam:Schistosoma haematobium scaffold246_2, whole genome shotgun sequence.